AAAUCAUGAUUUGGGGACUUUUGAAAAUACUCCUUGAAUCUCUCACAAGCUUCAUAUAAUUACUCCCCCGGAAGCUGUUUGAAUUUAUAGAUCUUAUCACGAAUUU